rnacentral:tRNA from 1 species
GGAUUGUGGCUCAGUGGUAGAGCGCUAGCCUAGCAUGUGUGAGGCACUGGGUUCAAUCCUCAGCACCA